rnacentral:lncRNA from 1 species
GUCCUUAUCACAUAAUGACCACUAGGAGUUUCUCUCAUUGAUUAUUAUGAUAAAACUAACAGUUUGUAGUUACUCAGUCCAACCUUUGACUAGAUAAUUUGGGAACAAUAUAAAAUUAUGAGCAUUAUAACGAUUACCAUUUCCCUUCUAAAGGAAAUGCUUUAUAAAGACAUUUCUGUGGCCAUGAUCUACAGAGGACCCAGUAAGAAGAGACAUUGGAAUCUUAUCAAAAGAUUAAGAACAACAACAAAUAUAUAUCUUAACAUAACAGGUCCCUCCAAAACUAUUAUGACAGCUGUUAUGAGUUAUGACAUUGUAGUAACGUUAUUCUAAAACAUUAAUGCACUGAGGACUAAAGAAUGCUGAAACAGAGCCUAAGGUUCAUUUCUAGGCAGCUGUGUCUUUUUACUGAAAAAGGUGAGUGGAUCAUAACAAAGCACCAGAACAUGCUUAAUAUAAUUGAACAACUAAAAUGACUGCCAAUUCUUUAGCUAAUUGCUUCCAUAAUGUAAUACCUGACAGGACGACGAGAUCUUCGACAUCAAGAGUCUUGUUUGUGAAUCUAUUGGCGAGAGUU